rnacentral:lncRNA from 1 species
ACGAGGAGGCGGCCGAGAGGGGGGCGGGGGAGUGGCCUCCCCCGACCGGGCGGCCCCAGCGCUCCGGAGCGUGCGGCCCACCCCCUAGCUCCCCCGGCCGCGGGGCGCUCACUUUCUGCCCUUGGGCACCUUGGGCACGCUGGGCUUGGCCGACUUCUUCACUUUCUUGCCCCCGGCCGCGGAGGCCUUCUUGGCCGCUUUCUUGGGCUUGCCUUUGUCCUUCUUGCCGCCGCUCGCGCCCUUCUUGUGGGAGCGCUUCUCGGGCUUCUUGGCCUUGGCCGGCUUCUUGUCGCCGCGCCGCGCCGGGGCCGCCGCCGCGGCCGCCGCCUUCUUGGCCUUUUGCUGAGAGGCGGCCGCGCCCGCGCCCUUCUUGUCGCCGCCGCCGCCCUCCAGCUUCUUCUUGUUGAGCUUGAAGGAGCCGUUGGCACCGGUGCCCUUCACCUGCAGCAGCGUGUCGUUCUGCACCAGGGCCUUGAUGGAGUACUUGAGGUAGGUGCGCCCGUUCUGCUGGUCGAACCAGGGCACCUUCUUGGCCUCGUUGUAGAUCUUGGCCAGCGACGAGCCAUUGCGUUCGCCCAGCUUGCGGAUCGUCUCCACCACCAGCUGGCUGUACUUGCCCGGCUGGUUCUUCUUCUUGUUGUUCUUCUUCUUCUUGGAGGGCGACAGCGACGACGAGCCCGCCUUGGCCUUCUUGCUGGCCGGCUUUUUCUCGGGGGUGCCGGGAGCCUCCUCGGCCGGGGUCAGCGGCAGCGCCUCUUCCAGCUCCACGGACAUGGUGGCGAGCGGGUUGGCGGCCGGCGGCGCGCGGAAGCCGGGCGGGCGAGAGGGGAAGAGGAAAGCGACGGGAGCCUGAGAUCUUGGAGUGACAAGUAGUGUUAGUGGUACUGUUAGUACUAUUCUUCCCACAAAGGAGUCAUUCAAUAAAAGCAAAUAAUUUUGCCUCCAGGAGGCAAGAGGGUGCCCAGUACUUCAGAGUGAGAAACUCAUAGGGAAGUGGGGGUAAGACAGAGAGGGCUCCUUAAUGGAGAGAACAAAGGCCCACUUCUCUAAAGAUCUAGAUGACGGAGAACUAAACUUCCCUUCUCCUCCGAACGGGAUUAUCAAAGGGACCCACCAUGCCAGGAAUGAGGGGGGCCUCUGAAUUAGCUCCCAGGGAGCCACUGAAUUAUCCAGUGACUGCGCAUUCCUACUUUGGGAUCUCUGGGUCCAAACCAAACUGCUUCCUCUUUUAUUUAAGGUAUAAGUGGGAUAGAAAGCUUAGUCAUGGAACAGACCUGCUCUUUUUUUUUUUUUUUUUCUUUUUUUUUUUUUUAUUUUAUUUUUUUUUAUUUUUAUUUUUAUUUUUUUUUUUAUUUAAUAGCCUUUAAUUUACAGGAUAUAUAC